rnacentral:tRNA from 1 species
GGGGAUUUAGCUCAGUGGCAGAGUGCUUGCCUAGCAAGCGAAAGGCCCUGGGUUCGGUCCCCAGCUCUG